GCGAGGUGCUUAGAUCCUCUACAAAUCUGCGUAGAUUCUUAUUGCUACCUCUCCAACCCCACUAUCCCACCUCUGCCUUCUUCCACCUCAAACUCCUUUUCCUCCACUUCUUUUAUUGCGACGAGAAUUUGGAGAUAUUACUAGACUAAUAAGAAAUAAUUGUAUAAAUUGUCUAGCACAGUAAGUGCUCAAUACAUACUGUUGAGUUGAAUUGAAGAUUCUUGGAUUUGUUACAUUUUUUUUUUAUAAAGAAGAAUGGUGUAUAUUAGAGUGACAGGACAGUGACAGCAUUCUCACAGAAAUUCUACUGAAUGACUAACCAGUAUUAUCAACCAGUUCAUUUGAAAACAACACAGACAGAAGAAUAAUGGCAUAGGUGGAGGAUGAGUUUAAGUCAGAAAAUAACUUUAACAUUGCAAUAAGAGGCAAAAUAAAGUUUGUUUCUGCAGAAUGUU